rnacentral:rRNA from 1 species
GACGAACGCUGGCGGCGUGCUUAACACAUGCAAGUCGAACAGUGGCGGACGGGUGAGUAAUGCUUGGGAAUCUAGCUUAUGGAGGGGGAUAACUACGGGAAACUGUAGCUAAUACCGCGUACCAUAGGAUGAGCCCAAGUGGGAUUAGGUAGUUGGUGAGGUAAAGGCUCACCAAGCCGACGAUCUCUAGCUGGUCUGAGAGGAUGACCAGCCACACUGGGACUGAGACACGGCCCAGACUCCUACGGGAGGCAGCAGUGGGGAAUAUUGCGCAAUGGGGGCAACCUGACGCAGCCAUGCCGCGUGAAUGAAGAAGGCCUUCGGGUUGUAAAGUUCUUUCGGUAGCGAGGCGUUAACUACAGAAGAAGCACCGGCUAACUCCGUGCCAGCAGCCGCGGUAAUAC